rnacentral:rRNA from 1 species
AAACCAACAGGGAUUGCCUCAGUAACGGCGAGUGAAGCGGCAAAAGCUCAAAUUUGAAAUCUAGCACCUUCGGUGUUCGAGUUGUAAUUUGAAGAUGGUAACCUUGGGUUUGGCUCUUGUCUAUGUUCCUUGGAACAGGACGUCAUAGAGGGUGAGAAUCCCGUCUGAUGAGAUGCCCAUUCCUAUGUAAGGUGCUAUCGAAGAGUCGAGUUGUUUGGGAAUGCAGCUCUAAGUGGGUGGUAAAUUCCAUCUAAAGCUAAAUAUUGGCGAGAGACCGAUAGCGAACAAGUACAGUGAUGGAAAGAUGAAAAGAACUUUGAAAAGAGAGUGAAAAAGUACGUGAAAUUGUUGAAAGGGAAGGGCAUUAGAUCAGACUUGGUGUUUUACGAUUAUCUUCUCUUCUUGAGCUGUGCACUCGUAUUUCACUGGGCCAGCAUCGAUUCGGAUGGCAAGAUAAUGGCAGUUGAAUGUGGCUUCACUUCGGUGGAGUGUUAUAGCUUCUGCUGAUAUUGCCUGUCUGGAUCGAGGGCUGCGUCUUUUGACUAGGAUGCUGGCGUAAUGAUCUAAUGCCGCC